rnacentral:rRNA from 1 species
CCAUGGUAUGCACGAUAGCGGCUAGUGAGCGGCAAAAGCUCAAAUUUGAAAUCUGGUUGUGCCUGGCGCAGCCCGAGUUGUAAUUUGAAGAAGGCGACUCUGGAGGCGGCCCUUGCCUAUGUUCCUUGGAACAGGACGUCACAGAGGGUGAGAAUCCCGUGCGGCGAGGUGGCCCCGGCUCCGUGUAGAGCGCUUUCGAAGAGUCGAGUUGUUUGGGAAUGCAGCUCUAAGUGGGUGGUAAAUUCCAUCUAAAGCUAAAUAUUGGCGAGAGACCGAUAGCGAACAAGUACAGUGAUGGAAAGAUGAAAAGAACUUUGAAAAGAGAGUGAAAAAGUACGUGAAAUUGUUGAAAGGGAAGGGUAUUAGAUCAGACUUGGCGGUUGCUGGGGAUCCCCCCCUGCCCUUGUGGCGGGAGGGCUACUCCCUGCGCGCUGGGCCAGCAUCGAUUCGGACGGCGGGAGAAUGGCGUGGAGAAUGUGGCAGCGGCCCUUUGCGGGGCUGGUGUGCUUAUAGCUCUGGGCAGAUGCCGCCUGUGUGGAUCGAGGAGUGCGUCCUUAGGGACUAGGAUGCUGGCGUAAUGAUCUAACACCGCCCGUCUUGAAACACGGACCAAGGAGUCUAACGUCUAUGCGAGUGUUUGGGUGUGAAACCCGUACGCGGAAUGAAAGUGAACGUAGAUGGGAGCUGGCAAAACAGCGCACCAUCGACCGAUCCUGAAGAAUUUCUAACGGAUUUGAGUAAGAGCAUAGCUGUUGGGACCCGAAAGAUGGUGAACUAUGCCUGAAUAGGGUGAAGCCAGAGGAAACUCUGGUGGAGGCUCGUAGCGGUUCUGACGUGCAAAUCGAUCGUCG